GACACCAUGGACCUCGAGGAUGGGCAGCCGCAUACCCAGAAUGUUCUGCGAAGAACCAAUCACCUGUUGACAUUACAGAUGAGCGAGCUUUGGUUUCGGAGGAGUACCAGGAGCUGGUGUUUGACAAGUUCAACACUGAGUCCUCCAACCAGACCACCAUGAAAAACACUGGAAAGACAGUUGCUGUUCUCCUGAAGGAUGACUACUUCGUAAGAGGUGCUGGACUGCCAGGGCGUUUUAAGGCUGAGAAGAUUGAGUUUCACUGGGGCCAUAGUAAUGGAUCAGCAGGCUCAGAACACAGCAUCAAUGGCAGAAGGUUUCCUGUAGAGAUGAAGAUUUA